GACGAAGGCCGUGCGUAGUAUUCGGAAUCACUGGGCGUAAAGCGCACGUAGGCGGAUUGUUAAGUCAGGGGUGAAAUCCUGGAGCUCAACUCCAGAACUGCCUUUGAUACUGGCGAUCUUCGAGUUCGGGAGAGGUGAGUGGAACUGCGAGUGUAGAGGUGAAAUUCGUAGAUAUUCGCAAGAACACCAGUGGCGAAGGCGGCUCACUG
rnacentral:rRNA from 1 species